rnacentral:rRNA from 1 species
GCAUAUCAAUAAGCGGAGGAAAAGAAACCAACAGGGAUUGCCCUAGUAACGGCGAGUGAAGCGGCAACAGCUCAAAUUUGAAAUCUGGCUCUCGGGCCCGAGUUGUAAUUUGUAGAGGAUGCUUUUGAUGCGGUGCCUUCCGAGUUCCCUGGAACGGGACGCCAUAGAGGGUGAGAGCCCCGUCUGGUUGGAUGCCAAAUCUCUGUAAAGCUCCUUCGACGAGUCGAGUAGUUUGGGAAUGCUGCUCUAAAUGGGAGGUAUAUGUCUUCUAAAGCUAAAUACCGGCCAGAGACCGAUAGCGCACAAGUAGAGUGAUCGAAAGAUGAAAAGCACUUUGAAAAGAGAGUUAAAAAGUACGUGAAAUUGUUGAAAGGGAAGCGUUUAUGACCAGACUUGGGCUUGGAUAAUCAUCUGGGGUUCUCUCCAGUGCACUUUUCCAGUCCAGGCCAGCAUCAGUUUUCGCCGGGGGAUAAAGGCUUCGGGAAUGUGGCUCUCUCCGGGGAGUGUUAUAGCCCGUUGCGUAAUACCCUGGCGGGGACUGAGGUUCGCGCAUCUGCAAGGAUGCUGGCGUAAUGGUCAUCAACGACCCGUCUUGAAACACGGACCAAGGAGUCGUCUUCGUAUGCGAGUGUUCGGGUGUCAAACCCCUACGCGUAAUGAAAGUGAACGCAGGUGAGAGCUUCGGCGCAUCAUCGACCGAUCCUGAUGUUCUCGGAUGGAUUUGAGUAAGAGCAUACGGGGCCGGACCCGAAAGAAGGUGAACUAUGCCUGUGUAGGGUGAAGCCAGAGGAAACUCUGGUGGAGGCUCGCAGCGGUUCUGACGUGCAAAUCGAUCGUCAAACAUGGGCAUGGGGGCGAAAGACUAAUCGAACCUUCUAGUAGCUGGUUUCCGCG